AUUAGAUACCCUCCUAUACUUAGAUGAAAAUUCAAUUUCGCUAGAGUAGUAGUAGAUAUAUUCUUAAAAUUUAAAAAAUUUGGCGGUACUUUAAUCUAGUUAGAGGAACCUGUUUUUUUAAAACGAUACACCACGAAGAAUCUUACUUGUUUUUAGUUUGUAUACCGUCAUUGUCAGAUAAUUUUUAGAGAAUAAAUUAUUAAAAUUUAGAGUAUUAAAAUAUAUUAGAUCAAGGUGCAGCCAAUAAACAAGAAAAAAUGGGUUACAAUAAAUAAAUUUAUAAUGGAAUUAUACUUUGAAAAAGUUAAAGAAGGAGGAUUUAAUUGUAUAAAAUUUUUAAUAAGUAGUUUAGAAAUUAGCUCUAAAGUAUGUACAU
rnacentral:rRNA from 1 species